rnacentral:rRNA from 1 species
GACAGAGGUGCCGAGCGUUAGGCGGAAUCACUGGGCUUAAAGCGUGUGUAGGCGGAUCCGUAAGUACCUUGUGAAAUCCCACGGCUCAACCGUGGAACUGCUCGGUAUACUGCGAAUCUUGAGCCACUUAGGGGCUACCGGAACAAAUGGUGGAGCGGUGAAAUGCGUAGAUAUCAUUUGGAACGCCAAUGGUGAAAACAGGUAGCUGGGAGUGUGCUGACGCUGAGACACGAAAGCCAGGGGAGCGAACGGG